UACAGAGGUCUCAAGCGUUGUUCGGAUUCAUUGGGCGUAAAGGGUGUGUAGGUGGCGCCGUAAGUCGGGUGUGAAAUUUCGGAGCUUAACUCCGAAACUGCAUUCGAUACUGCGGUGCUUGAGGACUGGAGAGGAGACUGGAAUUCAUGGUGUAGCAGUGAAAUGCGCAGAUAUCAGGAGGAACACCGAUUGCGAAGGCAGCUCGCUGGGACGUAACUGACGCUGAGAACGCGGAAAGCGUGGGGAGCAAACAGG
rnacentral:rRNA from 1 species